GACGAACGCUGGCGGCGUGCUUAACACAUGCAAGUCGAACGAUGAAGCCGGAGCUUGCUCCGGUGGAUUAGUGGCGAACGGGUGAGUAACACGUGAGCAAUCUGCCCUUGACUCUGGGAUAACUGCGGGAAACUGUAGCUAAUACCGGAUACGACACCUUGGGGCAUCCCAGGGUGUGGAAAGAAUUUCGGUCAAGGAUGAGCUCGCGGCCUAUCAGCUAGUUGGUGAGGUAAUGGCUCACCAAGGCGACGACGGGUAGCCGGCCUGAGAGGGUGACCGGCCACACUGGAACUGAGACACGGUCCAGACUCCUACGGGAGGCAGCAGUGGAGAAUAUUGCACAAUGGGCGAAAGCCUGAUGCAGCAACGCCGCGUGAGGGAUGAAGGCCUUCGGGUUGUAAACCUCUUUUGACAGGGAAGAAGCGAAAGUGACGGUACCUGCAGAAAAAGCACCGGCUAACUACGUGCCAGCCGCCGCCGUAA
rnacentral:rRNA from 1 species